rnacentral:rRNA from 1 species
UACAGAGGUCUCAAGCGUUUGUUCGGAUUCAUUGGGCGUAAAGGGUGCGUAGGUGGCGCCGUAAGUCGGGUGUGAAAUUUCGGAGCUUAACUCCGAAACUGCAUUCGAUACUGCGGUGCUUGAGGACUGGAGAGGAGACUGGAAUUCAUGGUGUAGCAGUGAAAUGCGUAGAGAUCAUGAGGAAGACCAGUGGCGAAGGCGGGAUCCUGGGCCAGUACUGACGCUGAGGAGCGAAAGCGUGGGGAGCAAACAGG